rnacentral:rRNA from 1 species
AUGGACCGACGACUCCUGAAAGCAGCCGCAUCUGGUGAUUCCACAUCAAUGGAGGAGAUGGCUUCGCAAGAUCAAAGCAUUCUUCAUGGGAAAACUCCGCAAGGGAACACCUGCCUCCACAUAUCCUCCAUCCAUGGCCACCAGGUAUUUUGCACGGAUGCGGUGGCACUGGAGGAAUCACUCCUUGCCACUGUAAAUUUGGAUGGGGAGACGCCUCUUCUCACUGCCAUUACACGUGGCUGGGUCUCAUUGGCUUCUGUCUUGCUCCGAUGCUGCCGUUCACGGCGGUUGAGUGAGGCAAUCCUGCAACAAGACACGCAUGGAUGCAAUGCACUGCACUAUGCCAUUCGCAGCGGUCACAGGGAGCUUGCGCUGGAGUUGAUAGCAGCAGAGCCUGAUCUGUCGAAGCACGUGACCAAGUUCAAUGACUCACCCAUGUACAUCGCGGCAAAGAGAAAUUUUGCAGAUGUUUUCGAGGAACUCUUGAAUAUUCCAGAUUGUAGUCAUGCGGGACGGUGUGACAACAAUGCUUUGCAUGCCGCAGCUACAAAUGGGAAUGGAGACAUCGCUACAAAAAUCAUGAGGAUGCGACCUGAAAUGGCCAGAGCAGCUAACAAGUACGGCAAUACACCAGCAAGAUUGGUUGUACUUUAUAACAAGGUUGACAUGCUACGAGUAUUGCUAGAACAUGAUUGUUCUUUAGGGUAUGAAGUGAGCACAAAAGGUUUUUCCCUGCUUCAUGCUGCCGCAUAUCGAGAGUUUGCUGACUUUAUCCUGAGGACACCGCAACUUCGCAAAGUCAUUAACAUGCAAGACAACCAAGGAAAACCCCCUCUACAUUAUGCAGUCCAAAGUUGCAAUCCUAAAAUAGUCGCUGCCUUACUGUCUCAUGAGGAUAUAGAUGUAACAAUGAUCGACAACAAUGGUGAUCCAGCAACUUGGGAACUGUGGAAAGUCAUACAGAAUGCCAAGACAUUAAACUGGAAUGAAGUGUGCAUGCUUAUGCUAAAAGCAAAUCCUCAACAUACUGGAUCUAUUUAUAAUCUUCAUCGGAAAGCCAAGCAAGAGGCGACUAAUGCAUCAAGGAAGGAUGCAAAAUCACUAACUCAAAUAUACACAACCAACACUUCGUUAGUAGCAAUCCUCAUUACAACAAUAGCCUUUGCUGCCGCUUUCACCCUACCUGGAGGAUACAGCAAUGGCGCUGGAAGCGAGGGACUUCCCGUCAUGUCUCGCAAGGUUGCAUUUCAGGCAUUCUUGAUCUCUGACACCUUAGCGAUGUGCUCUUCAUUUGCUGUCGCCUUCAUAUGCAUCAUGGCAAGGUGGGAGGAUUAUGAGUUCUUGGUUUACUAUAGAUCCUUUACUAAGAAGCUCAUGUGGUUUGCAUAUGUGGCAACUACCACAGCCUUUUCAACUGGUUUAUAUACGGUGUUGCCCCCACAUCUCCACUGGUUGGCCAUUGCAAUUUGCAUUACAGUAGCUUUGUUGCCCAUUCUCACGAAGCUGCUGGGCGAAUGGCCUGUCUUGAGGCUUAGAUUUCGGCUCGGAAAAACUUUCAACUCUGAUCUCCUUGACAUUGUGUGA